AUACGUAGGGGGCGAGCGUUAUCCGGAUUUAUUGGGAGUAAAGCGUGUGUAGGCGGUUUGUUAAGUUUAAGAUUAAAGCCCGAGGCUUAACCUCGGUUCGUCUUAAAAACUGGCAGACUUGAGUGCAGUAGAGGCAAGUGGAAUUUCUAGUGUAGCGGUUAAAUGCGUUGAUAUUAGAAGGAACACCAGUGGCGAAGGCGGAUUGCUGGGCUGUUACUGACGCUGAGACACGAAAUCGUGGGGUGCAAAUAGGAUUAGAUACCCUGGUAGUCCACACUGUAAACGAUGAAUGCUAGUUGUAGGGAGUAUCGACCCCUUCUGUGCCGCAGUCAACACAAUAAGCAUUCAGCCUGGGGAGUUCGGCAGUAAGGUGGAAACUCAAAUGAAUUGACGGGU
rnacentral:rRNA from 1 species